rnacentral:rRNA from 1 species
UCGCCGCCCGUGACUCGGCGAGAAGUCCAUUGAACCUUAUCAUUUAGAGGAAGGAAAAGUCGUAACAGGUUUCCGUAGGUGAACCUGCGGAAGGAUCAUUG